AACCAUAGAAACCUGCGGAGUACCUGCGGCGGGAUCAUUAUAGUAUAUGGAAUCUCCAUUCUAUAAACCCACUCUGCGUAUCUUGUAACUGUUGCUUCCAUGGGACUUGGUUCCGCCACACCGGCUUCACGGCUGGUGAGCGCCCAUGGAAGGAGAAACAAAACUCUUCUUUGAAAUGUAGUCAGUCUGAACAAGUUUUUAUAAACGUUAAAACUUUCAGCAAUGGAUCUCAGAUCGGAA
rnacentral:misc_RNA from 1 species